AUGUUGAUGGUUCAGUGGUAGAAUUUUUGCCUCCCGUGCAGAAGAUCUGAGUCCCAUUCCCAGUCAAUGCA
rnacentral:tRNA from 1 species